CCCUUAGAUGUUCUGGGCCGCACGCGCGCUACACUGACCAGUGCAACAAGCAUCCGUCCUUGGCCGACAGGCUCGGGCAAUCUUUGAACGCUGGUCGUGAUGGGGAUAGACUUUUGCAAUUUUUGGUCUUCAACGAGGAAUUCCUAGUAAACGCAAGUCAUCAACUUACAUUGAUUACGUCCCUGCCCUUUGUACACACCGCCCGUCGCACCUACCGAUUGAAUGGUCCGGUGAAGCCUCCGGAUUGGCGCGCACCUCGGUGCCGCCGAGAAGUUGGCUAAACCUUACCAUUUAGAGGAAGGUGAAGUCGUAACA
rnacentral:rRNA from 1 species